rnacentral:rRNA from 1 species
CUGGUUGAUCCUGCCAGUAGUCAUAUGCUUGUCUCAAAGAUUAAGCCAUGCAUGUCUAAGUUCAAGCGAAAAUAAAGUGAAACCGCGAAUGGCUCAUUACAUCAGUUAUGGUUCCUUAGAUCGCACUUACUACUUGGAUAACUGUGGUAAUUCUAGAGCUGAUACAUGCACUGAGCUCCAACCCUCGUGGAAGGAGCGCUUUUAUUAGAUCAAAGCCAAUCGGGCCUUCGGGUCCGUACCGUUGGUGACUCUGAAUAACUUUGCUGAUCGCAUGGUCUCGUACCGGCGACGUAUCUUUCAAGUGUCUGCCUUAUCAACUGUCGAUGGUAGGUUAUGCGCCUACCAUGGUUGUAACGGGUAACGGGGAAUCAGGGUUCGAUUCCGGAGAGGGAGCCUGAGAAACGGCUACCACAUCCAAGGAAGGCAGCAGGCGCGCAAAUUACCCACUCCCGGCACGGGGAGGUAGUGACGAAAAAUAACGAUACGGAACUCACAUGAGGCUCCGUAAUCGGAAUGAGUACACUUUAAAUCCUUUAACGAGGAUCUAUUGGAGGGCAAGUCUGGUGCCAGCAGCCGCGGUAAUUCCAGCUCCAAUAGCGUAUAUUAAAGUUGUUGCGGUUAAAAAGCUCGUAGUUGGAUCUCGGUUUCGGGCGGGUGGUGCGCCUUGCGGUGUUUACUGUCUGCCCGGACGAUUUUGUUGGUUCGUUCGUGGUUCUCUUAACCGAGUGCCACGGGUGGCCAGCACGUUUACUUUGAAAAAAUUGGAGUGCUCAAAGCAGGCGCUACAGCCUGAACAUUAGUGCAUGGAAUAAUGGAAUAGGACCUCGGUUCUAUUUCGUUGGCUUUCGGAGUCGAGGUAAUGAUUAAUAGGAACAGACGGGGGCAUUCGUACUGCGACGUUAGAGGUGAAAUUCUUGGAUCGUCGCAAGACGAACUACUGCGAAAGCAUUUGCCAAGAAUGUUUUCAUUAAUCAAGAACGAAAGUUAGAGGUUCGAAGGCGAUCAGAUACCGCCCUAGUUCUAACCAUAAACGAUGCCGACCGGCGAUCCGCCGUCGUUAAUUGAAUGACUCGGCGGGCAGCCUCCGGGAAACCAGAGUGUUUGGGUUCCGGGGGAAGUAUGGUUGCAAAGCUGAAACUUAAAGGAAUUGACGGAAGGGCACCACCAGGAGUGGAGCCUGCGGCUUAAUUUGACUCAACACGGGAAAUCUCACCAGGCCCGGACACCGGAAGGAUUGACAGAUUGAGAGCUCUUUCUUGAUUCGGUGGGUGGUGGUGCAUGGCCGUUCUUAGUUGGUGGAGCGAUUUGUCUGGUUAAUUCCGAUAACGAACGAGACUCUGGCCUACUAACUAGAUGUAGGAUCCCUUUGUGGGUCCGUCACUGCUUCUUAGAGGGACGGGCGGCUUUUAGCCGCACGAGAAUGAGCAAUAACAGGUCUGUGAUGCCCUUAGAUGUUCUGGGCUGCACGCGCGCUACACUGAAGGAAUCAGCGUGUGUUCCCUACCCGAAAGGGUUGGGAAACCCGUUGAACCUCCUUCGUGAUGGGGAUUGGGGAUUGCAAUUAUUCCCCAUGAACGAGGAAUUCCCAGUAGGCGCGAGUCAUAAGCUUGCGUCGAUUACGUCCCUGCCCUUCGUACACACCGCCCGUCGCUACUACCGAUCGAGUGAUUUAGUGAGGACUUCGGACUGGUCUUCGUGGUGGCUCUCGAGUCAUGACGGAGUUCCGGAAAGAUGCCCAAACUUGAUCACUUAGAGGAAGUAAAAGUCGUAACAAGGUUUCCGUAGGUGAACCUGCG